rnacentral:rRNA from 1 species
GACGAACGCUGGCGGCGUGCUUAACACAUGCAAGUCGAACGGAAAGGCCCUGCUUGCAGGGUACUCGAGUGGCGAACGGGUGAGUAACACGUGGGUGAUCUGCCCUGCACUUCGGGAUAAGCCUGGGAAACUGGGUCUAAUACCGGAUAGGAGCCAUUUUUAGUGUGAUGGUUGGAAAGUUUUUUCGGUGUAGGAUGAGCUCGCGGCCUAUCAGCUUGUUGGUGGGGUAAUGGCCUACCAAGGCGGCGACGGGUAGCCGGCCUGAGAGGGUGGACGGCCACAUUGGGACUGAGAUACGGCCCAGACUCCUACGGGAGGCAGCAGUGGGGAAUAUUGCACAAUGGGCGCAAGCCUGAUGCAGCGACGCCGCGUGGGGGAUGACGGCCUUCGGGUUGUAAACUCCUUUCGCUAGGGAUGAAGCUUUUUGUGACGGUACCUAGAUAAGAAGCACCGGCUAACUACGUG